rnacentral:rRNA from 1 species
ACCGAGGGGGGCCUCGCGCCCCCGGGGGCUACCACCCCCGACCCUUCACCCACUGCGCAUCUACCUUUGUUGCUUUGGCGGGCCCCGGGCUCGUCCCGCGCCGGUCUUUCGGCCGGCGAGCGCCCGCCAGAGGCCCGUAUUUAUCCUUUUUAUCCAGCGAGUCCGAGUACAAAACAAUAGUGAAAACUUUCAACAACGGAUCUCUUGGUUCCAGCAUCGAUGAAGAACGCAGCGAAAUGCGAUAAGUAAUGUGAAUUGCAGAAUUCAGUGAAUCAUCGAAUCUUUGAACGCACAUUGCGCCCCUCGGCAUUCCGGGGGGCAUACCUGUUCGAGCGUCAUUACCUCCUUCAAGCCUGGCUUGGUAUUGGGCCCUCGCCUUCCUGGCGUGCCCGAAAUGCGUUGGCGGUCCGGUGCGACUUUGAGCGUAGUAAAAAUGUUCCGCUUUGAAAGUCGACACCGUGGCCAGCCAGAUAACCCCGUGUUUUUCAAUAA